rnacentral:rRNA from 1 species
GGCUUAUCUCCCCCAAGAGUCCACAUCGACGGGGAGGUUUGGCACCUCGAUGUCGGCUCAUCGCAUCCUGGGGCUGAAGUAGGUCCCAAGGGUUGGGCUGUUCGCCCAUUAAAGCGGUACGCGAGCUGGGUUCAGAACGUCGUGAGACAGUUCGGUCCCUAUCUGUCGCGGGCGUAGGAAAUUUGAGAGGAGCUGUCCUUAGUACGAGAGGACCGGGAUGGACGUACCGCUGGUGUACCAGUUGUUCCGCCAGGAGCACCGCUGGGUAGCCAAGUACGGACGGGAUAAGCGCUGAAAGCAUCUAAGCGUGAAGCCCCCCUCAAGAUGAGAUUUCCCAGUAUGUAAGACCCCUUGAAGACGACGAGGUUGAUAGGUUCGGGGUGGAAGUGCAGUAAUGUACGGAGCUGACGAAUACUAAUCGGUCGAGGGCUUAUCCUA